rnacentral:rRNA from 1 species
GACGAACGCUGGCGGCGUGCUUAACACACGCAAGUCGAACGGAAAGGCCCUGCUCUUGUGGGGUUCUCGAGUGGCGAACGGGUGAGUAACACGCGAGUAACCUGCCCUUGACUUUGGGAUAACUUCAGGAAACUGGGGCUAAUAUCGGAUAGGAUCUCCUGCUGCAUGGGGGGGGUUGGAAAGUUUCGGCGGUUGGGGAUGGUCUCGCGGCUUAUCAGCUUGUUGGUGGGGUAGUGGCUGACGAAGGCUUUGACGGGUAGCCGGCCUGGGAGGUUGACCGGCCACAUGGCGCCUGAGGUACGGACCAGUCUCGUACGGGCGGCAACAGUGGAAAGUAUUGCGCAAUGGGGGGGAGCGAGAGACGGAGGCGCCGCGUGCGGGAUGACGGGCUACGGGUUGUAAACAGCUUUGGCCUGUGACGAAGAGUGAGUGACGGUAAUGGGUAAAGAAGCACCGGCUAACUACGUG